UACGAAGGGAGCUAGCGUUGUUCGGAAUCACUGGGCGUAAAGCGCACGUAGGCGGCUUUGUCAGUCAGGGGUGAAAUCCCGGGGCUCAACCUCGGAACUGCCUUUGAUACAGCAAGUCUUGAGUACGAGAGAGGUGAGUGGAAUUCCUAGUGUAGAGGUGAAAUUCGUAGAUAUCAAGUGGAACACCGGUGGCGAAGGCGGCCUUCCGGACAGUGACUGACGCUGAGACGCGAAAGCGUGGGGAGCAAACAGG
rnacentral:rRNA from 1 species